AGCAUCAUCAUCAGCAUCUGUACCAUCUUCUCUGGCUCUCUCUCUCCCUUUAACUGAAUCGAUUCAUCUCUUCCCUCUUUUCUCUACUUGGAUCCCUCUAUCUCUCUCUCUCUCUCUCUCUCUCCCACUCGGCUUCUACAACCUUCUCAUCUUCACCCAUGGUGAGCUGAAUUAGUGUGUUCUUUUACAGGAAAGAAAUACUUUUCUCACCAGACUGGCCUUGUUUCUCUCUCUUAAUCUUUCUCUCUUUCCAGUUGUCCAUGCUCACAACUUUUUCGCUCCCCCCCCCCAUGUACCGAUUCCUUUUCCAACUCUCCAACUGCGUCAAUCUAACUCCCUCCUCUCUUUCUCCUCCCCGCGGAGGUGAGAGAGGAAGGAGGGAGUCGGCUUAACCCUCAAAACAGAAGCUAGCUGUGGUAAUAUAGAGAAGAGAGCACAACAAUUCAGUAGAUCUUGAAGUGUUGAAGAAGGUGGAGAGAAGAGAAAAUAUUUUCAGGGACAUGCAACAGCAGAAAGCAGGGUCCCAAUUCGUGGUGCCGCAUUCCGAAAUGGCCCCAUUCUCCCCCUCCGCUGUCGGCUCCGGGGCGCACUUACUGGGAAUUCCCGGUCCUGACCCCCUCCAGCAGUCGCCGAUGACCGAGGCGGCGUCGCCCAUCAGCAGCCGGACACCGGCGCGGCCGCCCACCGUGGAUUUCGACGAACUAGCACCCGCGGUGGCCGGGAACUGCCCGGAGGACCAGUCUCUUGCUGGGGGCGAGGAUGCCGAGAGGGGCGGAGGCGCGACCGGAAACCGGUGGCCACGGCAGGAGACGCUCGCCCUGCUUAAGAUCCGCUCCGAGAUGGACGCCGCCUUCCGGGACGCCACCUUCAAGGGCUCUCUCUGGGAGGAGGUCUGCAGAAAACUGGGGGAGUUGGGGUACAAACGGAGCGCCAAGAAGUGCAAGGAGAAGUUCGAGAACGUGCACAAGUACUACAAGCGCACCAAGGAAGGCCGGGCAGGUCGCCAGGACGGCAAGAGCUACCGCUUCUUCAGCCAGCUGGAAGCUCUCUACAGUGGCAGCAGCGACGGCGGCGCCACCACCUCAACCGCCAACCCCGCCCCUGCUCCCCCCCUCGUUGCCGCCUCAUCUGCCUUCAGCGCCGGCAUGGCGGGACCACCCGUCAGCAGACCCCAGCCUAUCUCUGCGACGGCCCCACCAACCAUGGCGACGCCCACUAGGGUGGUCGUCCCCGAUCUGGCGCUACCCGGGGGCCUGCAAGGACUCACGAGCUCUGCUGUCGCUGGGAUAACGUUUUCGUGGAAUUCUUCCUCUUCUUCGUCGUCUUCGGACUCCGAUGCCGAGGAAACCGGAGAUGCCGAUGAGAAUCAGGAAGGGAGGAAGCGGAAACACGGCGGGGGGUCAGGACCAAGCCGGAAGAUGAUGGCCUUCUUCGAUCGGUUGAUGAACCAGGUGAUGGAACGGCAGGAUGCUAUGCAGCAGCGGUUCUUAGAGGCCAUCGAGAAGAGAGAUCAGGACAGGACGAUCCGAGACGAGGCCUGGCGGAGGCAGGAGAUGGAGCGGCUCAAUCGUGAGCAGGAGCUCUUAGCCCAGGAGCGCGUCAUGGCUGCCUCCCGAGACACCGCCAUAAUCUCGUACCUUCAGAAGAUAAGUGGGCAGGCCGUCCCCGUACCACCGAUGCCUGCCACCCCUAUCUCCAUUGCUCCACUUUCGCCACAGCAGCCGUCUCAACAUCCUCAUGAACGAUCACAGCCUCCGAGACAGCAGCAGCAGCAGCAGACACCACGCGCACCAGAACAGUCACCCCAGAACCAGAACGAGUGUAAGCAACACCACAAGAGCAGCGAGGUCGUCCGGCACAAGUCUUCGUCGGCGUCAGAGAUCGAUCCCACUUUGGAGCCGCAGGAGGUUGUCGGAAGUGGGAGCCUCGAGCCCAUGCCGUCAUCCUCGCGGUGGCCAAGGGCGGAGGUGCAUGCAUUGAUCAACCUCCGGAGCGGUCUCGAGUCGAAGUACCAGGAGGCCGGGCCGAAGGGGACACUGUGGGAAGAGAUCUCAGCUGGAAUGCAGCGGCUCGGCUAUAACCGGAGCGCAAAGAGGUGCAAGGAGAAAUGGGAGAACAUCAACAAAUACUUCAAGAAGGUGAAGGAAAGCAACAAGAAACGGCCGGAGGAUUCCAAGACUUGCCCUUACUUCCACCAAUUGGAAGCCAUCUACCGCAAGAAACUCCUCAGCAGCGGGGGAACCAGCAGUGGCAGCGGCAACAUCGUGGGAAUUCAACGGCAGCAAGUCCAAGAAGCCAAUCCACCUCCCAAUCAACAGAAGAGUGACGCAGUAACAAUCAUGCCACAAGAACAAGCACCUCCGCCACCACAAGAACAAGCUGGAAGCAAAAAUGGGAAGGACGGAAGCUCCAACAAUCAAAAUGGUGGGAAUUCUGAGGGCGGCGAGGUUUCCCUCGGUAUACAAGUACCAACUAGCAACGGGGGACUUCCCUCGAGAUUCUUUGGCGAAGGAUUAAACAAGUCAGAAAAUUUCGUGAAGGAGCUAAUGGGGCAACGACAGCAGCAAGCUGCCAUGGAUGAUGACUACGCUAAGUUGGAUGAAGCUGACAGCGAUAACAUGGACCAAAACGACGACAACGAUGACAACGAUGACGACGACGAGGAAGACAGGAAAAUGCAAUACACGAUACAGUUCCAGAAGCAGAAUGUGAAUAAUGCAGGAGGCAGCGGAGGGAAUGGGUCAGCUGCAGCUUCCCCGGGUUCUUUCUUGGCCAUAGUUCAAUAGAUCUGGUACCCCAAAAUCUCCAUCUCCCCAAUUAUCUUUCUCCCGGUGUAUCCAUUCGUGUUCCUGUCCUCCCCCUUCUUUUGCUUCUCUCCAUGCAUGCAUUUCCACCAUCUUCCUACACAUCACUUCUUUAGUGUAGCUUAUAGGUGUUACAUGGUUCGACAUCAAAGAGAGUUGAUUGAUGAAUGAUACACACUCAUCGCUGCAGUCCAUCCGUUGCUAUUUAUUGAUUUGUUUGUGGAAUAAGCAUCCUCUCAGGGCCAGCGGCGGCGGCACACAUCUACCAUAGGAGGCAAUAAGCACGAAGCCGUCAGCAUCGGAAGAGAGAGAGAGAGAGAGAGAGAGAGGAGAUUUUUUUUUGGUUGUUGUGGCAUGUACAUUGAAUUGGUGAAACGACAAGUCCAGCAAAAUCAAAGGAAUAUAUGUGACAUGCAGUGCUUUGGAUUCCUAAAAUGCCCCCUUCUCUCAUCAAAGCAGACUAGAGAGUUUGUCGGCAAAGAUUUAAGCUCGCAGGAGGAGGAGGCAUUUGCAGCAAUGACUGGGGACUAAUACGAGAAGAAAAAGGAGCGGGGGACAAACUGUGGGAAGGGCGGGCCGGCUGCAUGUGCGCGGACUUCACACUUCACGAGGCGUGCUUCUGCUGCUGUCAGUAUGUGUUUGAGAGAGAGUGAGAGAGAGUGAGAGAGAGAGAGAGAGAGGGAGCGUUAUACCGCACCAUGCGAUCGAUGAUCUAUCACUGCACAACGUACGCCAACUCCAGUGGAGGUUAUCUACGCAUCAAUCCUGCAUCUUGCGCUACGUCACUCACGUGACCGUUGGAUCUGCGCGCGCCUCUCUUCUUUGACUUUUGUACGAUGAUGUAUAUAUUCUUAUCAUGCCGUGAGGUAAAUAACAUCGUAUGCGACUCGCCAUGAAUUAAUAUUUCA